AAUGAACGCUGGCGGCAGGCCUAACACAUGCAAGUCGAACGGAUCCUUCGGGAUUAGUGGCGGACGGGUGAGUAACGCGUGGGAACAUACCCUUUGGUACGGAAUAGCCUCGGGAAACUGGGAGUAAUACCGUAUGUGGUCGAGAGACGAAAGAUUUAUCGCCAAAGGAUUGGCCUGCGUUGGAUUAGGUAGUUGGUGGGGUAAUGGCCUACCAAGCCGACGAUCCAUAGCUGGUUUGGGAGGAUGAUCAGCCACACUGGGACUGAGACACGGCCCAGACUCCUACGGGAGGCAGCAGGGGGGAAUCUUAGACAAUGGGGGAAACCCUGAUCUAGCCAUGCCGCGUGAUCGAUGAAGGCCUUAGGGUUGUAAAGAUCUUUCAGGUGGGAAGAUAAUGACUGUACCACCAGAAGAAGCCCCGGCUAACUCCGUGCCAGCCGCCGCAGUAA
rnacentral:rRNA from 1 species